AGCCAUGCGAGUCGUAUGGGAUACCUAAAAUUUCCAUGGCAGACUGCUCAGUAACACAUGAUCAACUUACCCUAUAGAGAAAAAUACCCUCGGGAAACUGAGGAUAAUGUUUCAUAGUUGAAAAGGCUUGGAAAAGUUUUUCAACGAAAUGGGUAAGAUAAAUGGUUCUUAUCUGCUAUAGGAUAGGAUCGUGGUCGAUUAUGGUUGUUGGUGAGGUAACGGCUCACCAAGCCGAUAAUCGAUAGGGGCCGUGAGAGCGGGAGCCCCGAGAUGGGUACUGAGACAACGACCCAGGCCUUACGAGGCGCAGCAGGCGCGAAACCUCCGCAAUACACGAAAGUGUGACGGGGUUACCCAAAGUGUUCAAUAUUGAACUGUGGCAGGUGAGUAAUGUCCCCUGCUAGAAAGGAGAGGGCAAGGCUGGUGCCAGCCGCCGCGGUAAAACCAGCUCUUCAAGUGGUCGGGAUAAUUAUUGGGCUUAAAGUGUCCGUAGCCGGUUUAGUAAGUUCCUGGUAAAAUCGGGUAGCUUAACUAUCCGUAUGCUAGGAAUACUGCUAUACUAGAGGGCGGGAGAGGUCUGAGGUACUACAGGGGUAGGGGUGAAAUCUUAUAAUCCUUGUAGGACCACCAGUGGCGAAGGCGUCAGACUGGAACGCGCCUGACGGUGAGGGACGAAAGCCAGGGGAGCGAACCGGAUUAGAUACCCGGGUAGUCCUGGCCGUAAACGAUGCAUACUAGGUGAUGGUACGGCCAUGAGCCGUGUCAGUGCCGUAGGGAAACCGUUAAGUGUGCCGCCUGGGAAGUACGGUCGCAAG
rnacentral:rRNA from 1 species